rnacentral:rRNA from 1 species
GCAAACGGGAUUAGAUACCCUGGUAGUCCACGCUGUAAACGAUGUCGAUUUGGAGGUUGUGCCCUUGAGGCGUGGCUUCCGGAGCUAACGCGUUAAAUCGACCGCCUGGGGAGUACGGCCGCAAGGUUAAAACUCAAAUGAAUUGACGGGGGCCCGCACAAGCGGUGGAGCAUGUGGUUUAAUUCGAUGCAACGCGAAGAACCUUACCUACUCUUGACAUCCAGAGAACUUAGCAGAGAUGCUUUGGUGCCCUCGGGAACUCUGAGACAGGUGCUGCAUGGCUGUCGUCAGCUCGUGUUGUGAAAUGUUGGGUUAAGUCCCGCAACGAGCGCAACCCUUAUCCUUUGUUGCCAGCGGUUCGGCCGGGAACUCAAAGGAGACUGCCAGUGAUAAACUGGAGGAAGGUGGGGAUGACGUCAAGUCAUCAUGGCCCUUACGAGUAGGGCUACACACGUGCUACAAUGGCAUAUACAAAGAGAAGCGACCUCGCGAGAGCAAGCGGACCUCAUAAAGUAUGUCGUAGUCCGGAUUGGAGUCUGCAACUCGACUCCAUGAAGUCGGAAUCGCUAGUAAUCGUAGAUCAGAAUGCUACGGUGAAUACGUUCCCGGGCCUUGUACACACCGCCCGUCACACCAUGGGAGUGGGUUGCAAAAGAAGUAGGUAGCUUAACCUUCGGGAGGGCGCUUACCACUUUGUGAUUCAUGACUGGG